AUGCCUGAGUUACUCGGUAACCCCAUGCUUAACCUUUGGGAGAGCACCACACUGCUUCAGGCUGCGCUAUGUGACCCCGGCAGCAGAGCAGAGGCCUGGGACCUCCAGCCGCUCCCGGCCCUUGGAACCCAAUUUGAGGGAGACAUGAUUCUACCUGGAGUCUUACAGAAGGGGACACAUCCCUCAAGGAGCUCCAUGAGCUUGUCCUCCAUAUCCUUGGGAAGAAGGGCUGCUCCACACAGUUGCUGUGGCCAGGAAGUGACUGCCUGGGCAUGUGGCCAAAUUGCUGUCUCGGCCCUGUGACUGUGAGUCCUCGCGAGUUCCAGCGUUCAUCUUUUAAGAGAAAAAGAUUUUUUUUCCUAUUCUCAAAGAAAUACAUCACCACUGCAGAAAACUUGGAACAUACAGAAAAACAAACAAAAUAUCCCACUCAGAGACAGCUGUUUUAAUGCUUUCCUGCCCAGCUUUUAGUCAGGAGAUUUUGGCCUGCUGUUUAACGCAGGCCCUGUGGUAAACAUACUGCCCUGCCCUGUCUCCAGGUGCUUGGGAUGCCACAGCCUCCCUCAUCUGUCUUCUCACUGCCCAGGGACAAGAAGGCCAACACCUCCAAGGCAUUCAGCAACUUUCCAGGAGGGCCCAAUGGAGAGGAUGGGUGGUGUCCCUGCCUAGCAGCUGGCUGGGUGGUAGCAGCAGUUGGCCAUGUCUGUGCUGCAGAGAUGUGGGAGUCUCUAGGUGCCUGUGCUCUGGCCCUGGAGACCUGGUGUCCCUGACAAGUCCACACUCAGCCAUCCCUGCCUAUCUCAAAAGUCCCACCAGCCCACACACUGCACUGACCCUUUCGCAGGAGCAAAGGGGGCUCCGAGGGGAGCAGAAGAGAACGCCACA
rnacentral:lncRNA from 1 species